rnacentral:rRNA from 1 species
UACGUAGGUGGCAAGCGUUGUCCGGAUUUACUGGGCGUAAAGAGCGCGCAGGCGGUCGAGUAAGUCGAAUGUGAAAGCCCCCGGCUUAACUGGGGAGGGUCAUUCGAUACUGUUCGACUUGAAGGCAGGAGAGGGCAGCAGAAUUCCCGGUGUAGUGGUGAAAUGCGUAGAUAUCAGGAGGAACACCGGUGGCGAAAGCGCUCAUCUGGCCCAAUACUGACGCUGAGGCGCGAAAGCUAGGGGAGCAAACGGG